UACGAAGGGAGCUAGCGUUGUUCGGAAUCACUGGGCGUAAAGCGCACGUAGGCGGCUGUGUCAGUCAGGGGUGAAAUCCCGGAGCUCAACUUCGGAACCGCCUCUGAUACAGCACGUCUUGAGUCCGAUAGAGGUGGGUGGAAUUCCUAGUGUAGAGGUGAAAUUCGUAGAUAUUAGGAAGAACACCGGUGGCGAAGGCGGCCCACUGGAUCGGUACUGACGCUGAGGUGCGAAAGCGUGGGGAGCAAACAGG
rnacentral:rRNA from 1 species